rnacentral:rRNA from 1 species
UACGAGGGGGGCGAGCGUUGUUCGGAAUUAUUGGGCGUAAAGGGUGCGUAGGCGGCUUGGUAAGUCUUGUGUGAAAUCUACAGGCUCAACUUGUAGUCUGCAUGAGAAACUGCCGGGCUUGAGUAUGGGAGAGGUGAGUGGAAUUCCUGGUGUAGCGGUGAAAUGCGUAGAUAUCAGGAGGAACACCUGUGGCGAAAGCGGCUCACUGGACCAUAACUGACGCUGAUGCACGAAAGCUAGGGGAGCAAACAGG